GACGAACGCUGGCGGCGCGCCUAAUACAUGCAAGUAGAACGCUGAAGCGAGGAGCUUACUCUUCUUGGAUGAGUUGCGAACGGGUGAGUAACGCGUAGGUAACCUGCCUUGUAGCGGGGGAUAACUAUUGGAAACGAUAGCUAAUACCGCAUAACAAUGGAUGACACAUGUCAUUUAUUUGAAAGGGGCAAUUGCUCCACUACAAGAUGGACCUGCGUUGUAUUAGCUAGUAGGUGAGGUAAUGGCUCACCUAGGCGACGAUACAUAGCCGACCUGAGAGGGUGAUCGGCCACACUGGGACUGAGACACGGCCCAGACUCCUACGGGAGGCAGCAGUAGGGAAUCUUCGGCAAUGGGGGCAACCCUGACCGAGCAACGCCGCGUGAGUGAAGAAGGUUUUCGGAUCGUAAAGCUCUGUUGUAAGUCAAGAACGGGUGUGAGAGUGGAAAGUUCACACUGUGACGGUAGCUUACCAGAAAGGGACGGCUAACUACGUG
rnacentral:rRNA from 1 species